rnacentral:sRNA from 1 species
GCCGGGCAUGGUGGUGCACACCUUUAAUCCCAGCACUUGGGAGGCAGAGGCAGGAGGAUCUCUGUGAGUUCAAGGCCAGCCUGGUCUACAUAGUAAGUCCCAGGACAGCUGGGGCUACAGAGAGACCCUGUCUCAAAAAGACCAAAAAAAUUUUUUUUCUUUUUUCUGUAUGAAACUGUGUAGACCAGGCUGGCCUUGAACUCACAAAGAUCUGCCUGCCUCU